rnacentral:rRNA from 1 species
UACGUAGGGACCGAGCGUUGUCCGGAUUCAUUGGGCGUAAAGAGCUCGUAGGCGGCCACUCAAGUCGAAUGUGAAACCUCGAGGCUUAACCUCGAGCCUGCAUUCGAUACUGGGCGGCUAGAGUCUGGUAGGGGGAUCUGGAAUUCCUGGUGUAGCGGUGGAAUGCGCAGAUAUCAGGAGGAACACCGGUGGCGAAGGCGGGUCUCUGGGCCGAUACUGACGCUGAGGAGCGAAAGCGUGGGGAGCGAACAGG